rnacentral:rRNA from 1 species
UACGAAGGGGGCUAGCGUUGCUCGGAAUCACUGGGCGUAAAGGGUGCGUAGGCGGGUCUUUAAGUCAGGGGGGAAAUCCUGGAGCUCAACUCCAGAACUGCCUUUGAUACUGAGGAUCUUGAGUUCGGGAGAGGUGAAUGGAACUGCGAGUGUAGAGGUGAAAUUCGUAGAUAUUCGCAAGAACACCAGUGGCGAAGGCGGCUCACUGGCCCGAUACUGACGCUGAGGCACGAAAGCGUGGGGAGCAAACAGG